AUGGGGUAUUGUGUGUAGAUUGAGGAACAUUUUUAAUUGAAUCCAUUUUAAAAUAAGGCUUUAAAAAUGUGGAAGAGGUCAAGUGGUCUGAAUCAGGGAUGCAAACCAGUCACCUUUUGUCGAAAUUCGCCGUUUUGAAUCCAAAAUAGGUGACCUACGUGAUCCAUGUAGAUCCGAUGAGAAAAGUUUGGGGCCAAUCGUUCACAUAACAGAAUGCAGCACGCGACUGAAGAGAGACGAGACAACCAAUUUGCUAGUUACAGUAUCAGCGGAGAGUGGAAUGGCAUUUUACCAGCUACAUCAGCGCGUCCCCUGGACAAUAAUGAGGAGCGCUGCAGGAAUGGAUGUGUUUAAUAUGGCGGCCACACCGCGGCUGGAACUCCCUGUGUGAGAGACAGAGAGCGGGAGAGAGCAACAGAUCGUUUGAAGUCUGCGACUGAGCCUCUCCUCAAACGGCAGUUCUGCAGCCGUCUCAGCCCGUUCCCUCACACACAUACACACACUCACCCACUCACCCCAAUUCCUCCUCUCACCCCAAUUCCUCCUCUCACAC